rnacentral:tRNA from 1 species
GCCGGAAUAGCUAAAUUGGGAUUGAAGUUGUUUAAGCAUCAAUCAUCUAGAGGCUCCCGGUUCAAUCCCGGGUUCCGGCA